UUGAAUUUAAUGAAGAGUUUGGUUGUAGCUGGCCCAUUCAUUUGGGCAUGUGCACACCUUCCUCUUUCAUCCCACACACACCUGUGAACCUGUGAGACAGAGAUGGGGAAUUUACUUGCUGCUUUUUGGAAUACAAAGGCAAUAGGUUAUUGGACCCCCCCUCUGUCUACUCAAUUAAUAUAAACUCAAUUUAUUUUAAAACGAAUGUAAUGGAUGUAACACAUCUCAUAC
rnacentral:misc_RNA from 1 species